CAGGUGGUCAGGUAGAGAAUACCAAGGCGCUUGAGAGAACUCGGGUGAAGGAACUAGGCAAAAUGGUGCCGUAACUUCGGGAGAAGGCACGCUGACAUGUAGGUGAAGCCCCUGCGGGUGGAGCUGAAGUCAGUCGAAGAUACCAGCUGGCUGCAACUGUUUAUUAAAAACACAGCACUGUGCAAACACGAAAGUGGACGUAUACGGUGUGACGCCUGCCCGGUGCCGGAAGGUUAAUUGAUGGGGUUAUCGCAAGAGAAGCUCCUGAUCGAAGCCCCGGUAAACGGCGGCCGUAACUAUAACGGUCCUAAGGUAGCGAAAUUCCUUGUCGGGUAAGUUCCGACCUGCACGAAUGGCGUAAUGAUGGCCAGGCUGUCUCCACCCGAGACUCAGUGAAAUUGAACUCGCUGUGAAGAUGCAGUGUACCCGCGGCAAGACGGAAAGACCCCGUGAACCUUUACUACAGCUUGACACUGAACAUUGAGCCUUGAUGUGUAGGAUAGGUGGGAGGCUUUGAAGCGUGGACGCCAGUCUGCGUGGAGCCAACCUUGAAAUACCACCCUUUAAUGUUUGAUGUUCUAACCUGGCGCCAUAAUCUGGCGUGGGGACAGUGUCUGGUGGGUAGUUUGACUGGGGCGGUCUCCUCCCAAAGUGUAACGGAGGAGCACGAAGGUCAGCUAAUCCUGGUCGGACAUCAGGAGGUUAGUGCAAUGGCAUAAGCUGGCUUGACUGCGAGAGUGACGGCUCGAGCAGGUGCGAAAGCAGGUCAUAGUGAUCCGGUGGUUCUGUAUGGAAGGGCCAUCGCUCAACGGAUAAAAGGUACUCCGGGGAUAACAGGCUGAUACCGCCCAAGAGUUCAUAUCGACGGCGGUGUUUGGCACCUCGAUGUCGGCUCAUCACAUCCUGGGGCUGAAGUAGGUCCCAAGGGUAUGGCUGUUCGCCAUUUAAAGUGGUACGCGAGCUGGGUUUAGAACGUCGUGAGACAGUUCGGUCCCUAUCUGCCGUGGGCGCUGGAGAAUUGAGGGGGGCUGCUCCCAGUACGAGAGGACCGGAGUGGACGCAUCACUGGUGUUCGGGUUGUCAUGCCAAUGGCACUGCCCGGUAGCUAAAUGCGGAAGAGAUAAGUGCUGAAAGCAUCUAAGCACGAAACUUGCCCCGAGAUGAGUUCUCCCUGAGACUAUAAGUCUCCUGAAGGAACGUUGAAGACGACGACGUUGAUAGGCCGGGUGUGUAAGCGCAGCGAUGCGUUGAGCUAACCGGUACUAAUGAACCGUGAGGCUUAACCUU
rnacentral:rRNA from 1 species